GUUACCUCUAAAAGAGGAGGGAGAGCAAAGUAGACAGAAACAAAUAACGACACCUUGCCUCAGAAUCCUAUAAACUAGAGAGGGGCCAAUUUAAUGUACCCCAUUCUGACACUCCAUUUACUACAAGGUAUGACAUGAUGUAAUGAAGCCUCCCCCAUCCCCUCCAAUCCUUAAUCUGAUGGACGGUGCAAUUACGUUCACUCCUAAACUCUUGUGUAUGCAUGAGAGUUCUUAAUGGC